rnacentral:sRNA from 1 species
GGCGUGACCUAGUUGACAGGCUCUGAGGUGCUGCUGUGGCGGCGUCCGCGGGGCUGAGGCGGGUGGGAGCCGGAGCCGAGCGCGGGCUGAGGGAGGGCGGCGACUGGAGAGCGGCGAGCGGCGAGCAGCGCAGGACGCGGAGCCUCUUUCACUUUUUCCCUGCUGAGUGCCCCCUCCCACCCCUCCCACUCCACACACACCCUGUUUGCCCGUGAGCCUGGGGAACUUGCAGCUUAAAGCCAGCCACCCCCACGGCAACAUGUACCCCAGCAACAAGAAGAAAAAGGUGUGGAGAGAGGAGAAAGAACGUUUACUGAAGAUGACCUUAGAAGAGAGACGCAAAGAAUACCUAAGAGACUAUAUUCCCCUGAACAGCAUUCUAUCAUGGAAGGAGGAGAUGAAGGGCAAGGGCCAAAAUGAUGGAUGCAUCUCUCAUGGUUGAAGAAGUGGUGGAGGAUGGCAUGGGAGAGAGUGCCUGAGGAUCCUUGCCUGGAACAAGUUAUGGAAAGAAAGUCUUACAGCUUGGGCUCUAGGAAAAGAGCCUUUUAUCCCACCUUGUCCUGCAGUCCAUUUUGAAUCAAGAAAGACUCAUUGAAGACUCCUUUGAGAAGAGUCUGUUUUGAAGAAGGAAAAAGAAAUACUGUUUGAGAGAAGGCAAACAGACAAAAAGGGUGAUAGAAAUAUGUAUUUUUGUUGUAUAUGUAACUCUGAGAGACCUUCCUAGAGUGAAGGUAGAGAACUGAAAAGGGAGUAAAUUAAGGAAUGCCUGAAUUUUGUGGGUCUUGAUGGAAAAACGCUGGUCUUCUUUUAACGUGGAAAAACAGCUGGUGCUUCAGUCCUAGGAAUUAUGUCUCUGCUGUGGGCAGUUGUCAUAAACUCUUCUCACAAUCCGAGCUGCUCUUUGUCCUCUGUGAAUGAAGGUACUUUUGCUUCUUUUUCAUCCAAGGAUGAAUGAAAAUGUAUAGCAUCUGCCCAAACCUGAAAAGUACAGUGUGUUUAUCACGAGAGCUUUGUAAGGUACUUCACUUGCACUUUAAAAUUCUUUAGUGCUCAAAACCAACCAUUGUGGGUUUUUGUCAAUAAAUACUAAUUUUUCAA